rnacentral:ncRNA from 1 species
UUCAGAGAAUGCCGAUGUCAUAUCUACGACAGUAGAUAUGAGAAUGCGCUUGUAGA